rnacentral:rRNA from 1 species
GACGAACGCUGGCGGCGUGCUUAACACAUGCAAGUCGAACGGAAAGGCCCUGCUUUUGUGGGGUGCUCGAGUGGCGAACGGGUGAGUAACACGUGAGUAACCUGCCCUUGACUUUGGGAUAACUUCAGGAAACUGGGGCUAAUACCGGAUAGGAGCUCCUGCUGCAUGGUGGGGGUUGGAAAGUUUCGGCGGUUGGGGAUGGACUCGCGGCUUAUCAGCUUGUUGGUGGGGUAGUGGCUUACCAAGGCCUUGACGGGUAGCCGGCCUGAGAGGGUGACCGGCCACAUUGGGACUGAGAUACGGCCCAGACUCCUACGGGAGGCAGCAGUGGGGAAUAUUGCACAAUGGGCGGAAGCCUGAUGCAGCAACGCCGCGUGCGGGAUGACGGCCUUCGGGUUGUAAACCGCUUUCGACUGUGACGAAGCGUGAGUGACGGUAAUGGGUAAAGAAGCACCGGCUAACUACGUG